rnacentral:lncRNA from 1 species
AAUUUUCAUCAUUUUAUUAUGGGCCAAUCAUCCUCUUAUUUAGAAAUAGAUAGAAUAUUUCUUUAUUUUUCUUAAAGUUAUCCUGAGGCCUGAACAGUUUUGUAAUUAUAAAAUUACCUGGUAUUAUUUUAAUCUUUAUUGUCAAUUUUACGGUGAUUGUAAUUCCACUUAUUGAUCCUUCUGAAUUGGUUUGUCUGGUAUAAGGUAAGUACACGUAUAUUUAUGUAAGCAUUUUCAUUUUUCCUUGUUUUCCACAAAACACAUUUUUAAUGAGGAUAGAUAUCUUUAUUAGUUCUCCCUUUCCAUUCCUUUAAUUUUCCAGUUGCCAUUCUUUUUCAUUUUCUAUGUUAAAUUAUAUGAAUAAUUAAAGUUGGACUUUUAAUUUUCUUUUCUGGGCAUGAUUCCAUUGUUUUAUUUUAUGAAUAUUCUUAGUGGUAAAUAUGGGGAAAAUAUCCCUAGAGUCUGAAAAUUAAAAUCAGACAAAUCCUAUUUAUCUUGUGCUCUAAUCAAGCCUCAAACUCUAGCAAUUUGCUCCCUCAUACCAGCAGCCUGUGUUAUACUAGAGGUACUAUAUAUUUGCUCUCUUUUUUAACUUUGAUGACUCUGUGUUUUGACAGAUAACCAAACUGUGAAUUUAUGUUUUCAGCAAAUGAUGUACUCUUGUAGGAGCCACUCAAAAAUUGACAGAAAGAAAUCCUCCUUCUUCCCUUAGAAGUUCUGAUGCUGGGGAAACCUGAGUGUUCUUUGGAAUUGUUUAAGCUCACCAGCCAAGUUGGAGCAUGCAGAAUGGAAGAAGCAAUAAAGUGACAUGAGCAAGGAGCAGUUUUCUUCUCAUCUUUCCAAACUCAAAUGUGGAUCUAAAUUUUAUAUGGAAAGCUAAACUUAUCCCUGAAGAUUAAAGUAAGUAAACUAUGAUCAAAUUUUUGAAAAUUUCUCUAAAUCGACUUAGGAUCUUACAUCAUUCACCAAAAAAAGAAAGAUAAAGAAAAUAACCCAUUAAAAUGUUGAGAUAUAUUCUUAGUAUUCCUUAGUAUCUAUA